rnacentral:rRNA from 1 species
AAGAUGACGAGGUUGAUAGGUCAGAGGUGGAAGCAUGGUGACAUGUGCAGCUGACUGAUACUAAUCGAUCGAGGACUUAACCAAA